rnacentral:sRNA from 1 species
GAAAUGCUCGGCUGACCCGGAGGGUGGCGCUUCAUUCACACUGGCUGUUGUCAUCCGCCCCUGAGGUUUCAGGCUGUCGGCAGUGAAGGUCAGAGUGCAGACCUGAGACCACUGCUCACCGACUCCAGACUCCAGUUUAUCUGUGCCCCAGCUUCCUCACUUAGUCGCAGAAGACUUAGGCUGAGGCCCCAGGAGGAGAUCUCCAUCCUUUGCAGGAGCACAACAAAUGGCCAUGUCCCAGGAAUCAUUGACCUUCAAGGACGUGUUUGUGGACUUCACCCUGGAGGAGUGGCAGCAACUGGACUCUGCCCAGAAGAACCUCUACAGGGAUGUCAUGCUUGAGAACUACAGUCACCUGGUGUCCGUGGGGUAUCUAGUUGCGAAGCCAGAUGUGAUCUUCAGGUUGGGACCAGGUGAAGAGUCCUGGAUGGCAGAUGGAGGGACCCCGGUACGGACCUGUGCAGAAAGAAAUCCUUAUUGAUUACUAUAUCUUGCAUACAGAAGAGCAUUUAGAACACAUGCGUACUUUUCAGAAGAUCUAUAUAGCUAACACCUGGAUAAUCACCUCUCAGGUUGAGAACUACGACUCU